AGACAGAUAGAUAGGUAUCUAUAUAUUAUUUUCAGGCACCACUUUUUAUCAUAUAAAUAAAUACUCGGUAAAUGAAUGAACGAGCUGGCAUUCAUGCAUUCCCUCAUUCAUGGAGAGUUAACCAUUUGAUUCAUUCAACCAGUCCAAUCUCUUGACAUGCACUGACCAAAAAAACAAUCCAAAUUUUACAACACUAUGUAUGUAGCAGUAGCAAUCCCUCCCUGAGACGAGACCUUUCAACAUAUAUCACCAUUCCAUCCAAUUUUUCACAACUCCCCGACGGAAAAGAAAAACACGAAAACGCCUAUCUGUUAUCUUCAAGAUUCGCUGGCCUAGGCCUCCUUGUAUUUCAACCUGUGUAGACAGCACAAGUUCUAUCUGUUGAUUGCUGAGACACGUCAAGCGAGUUCCCCCCUGCCUUCAACCAAUUGGGCCACCUCCUCGCAAGAUCUCCAAGGACUCUCUAGACCGGCAAGGCGUAUUGUAUUCGGCCAGAUCCAUUGGUGGUCGCUCACCAUCAUCCAUCCAUUCCAUGACAUGGAACCUGACAGCCAUAGGAACAAAUCAGAGCUUCAAAUCCACACACAAGUUAAAAAAUCGGUGGCCACAGCAACUUCACAAACUAAAUCUUCUCCAGUGAGUGAUAAAAAAAGAAACUAGAAAAUCUCACACAAACUGUUGUUUCAUACUAUUAUAAGGAAGACGACAAAAGCAACAUCAUCAUGCUUUGAUCAAAACCCCUUUAAAACAAGAGCAACCCUUCAGUUGUACAUAAGCUAGCAAAACUAACGACGGACAGUCGCAUAAUCCAAGUGCCGGCAGGCAUCAUCUUUGACAUGCUGGUGGUGGCAUAGCUUUGCCACAAAAGUACUGCAAGCAUCAACCUCACAAACAAAAUGUUUUCUAGUGACUGAUCCAAAGACACUAGACAAUCCAACACCAAGUGUUGGCUUAUACUACAACUAGGAGAUGGCAACAAACAAUAGCAUGCUUUGCUCAAAACCAAAAAGGAGAGGGAAAACCAAGAUGCCCAACCAUUGAGCUAGCGAAAAUGAAGAUGUACGGUCACAUACACCCAAGUAAGUGUUGGCGGUGCCACUAUGGCAUCACCUUUCAGAGGCUGGUGGCAUAGCUUCGUAAGGAAAGAAAUAUAGUGUGCAACUACUUCUACAAAGCAAUGUAUCAGGGGGUGCAGGAAACAUCAUUGGAGCUCUUAGUAUCACCUUUUUCAUCCAAAAAACACACCACGCCCCCUAAUUAGUGUUAUCCUACAAAGAAAAGAUCAUAAAAGAACCCCAGGAAAGUUAUUCUCUCUAGUUCAGUAAUUGCUUCCAAACAAAACUGAGAAGCACCACCAAAAGCCGAU
rnacentral:lncRNA from 1 species